GACGAACGCUGGCGGCGUGCUUAACACAUGCAAGUCGAGCGAUGAAGCACCUUCGGGUGUGAAUUAGCGGCGAACGGGUGAGGAACACGUGAGAAAUCUGCCUUCAACUCUGGGAUAACUCCGGGAAACCGGGGCUAAUACCGGAUAUGAGCCUUGAUCGCAUGAUCGGGGCUGGAAAGUUUUUCGGUUGGAGAUGAUCUCGCGGCCUAUCAGCUUGUUGGUGAGGUAAUGGCUCACCAAGGCGACGACGGGUAGCCGGCCUGAGAGGGCGACCCGCCACACUGGGACUGAGACACGGACCAGACUGCUACGGGAGGCAGCAGUGGGGAAUAUUGGGCAAUGGAGGAAACUCUGACCCAGCGACGCCGCGUGAGGGAUGAAGGCCUUCGGGUUGUAAACCUCUUUCAGUAGGGAAGAAGCGAAAGUGACGGUACCUACAGAAGAAGCACCGGCUAACUAUGUGCCAGCCGCCGCAGUAA
rnacentral:rRNA from 1 species